rnacentral:rRNA from 1 species
GAUGAACGCUGGCGGCGUGCCUAAUACAUGCAAGUCGAGCGAACAGACGAGGAGCUUGCUCCUUUGACGUUAGCGGCGGACGGGUGAUUAACACGUAGGUAACCUACCUCUAAGACUGGGAUAACUUCGGGAAACCGGAGCUAAUACCGGAUAAUAUUUCGAACCGCAUGGUUCGAUAGUGAAAGAUGGCUUUUCUAUCACUUAUAGAUGGACCUGCGCCGUAUUAGCUAGUUGGUAAGGUAACGGCUUACCAAGGCAACGAUACGUAGCCGACCUGAGAGGGUGGUCGGACACACGGGAACUGAGACACGGUCCAGACUCCUACGGGAGGCAGCAGUAGGGAAUCUUCCGCGAUGGGCGAAAGCCUGACGGAGCAACGCCGCGUGAGUGAUGAAGGUCUUCGGAUCGUAAAACGCUGUUAUUAGGGAAGAACAAACGUGUAAGUAACUGUGCACGUCUUGACGGUACCUAAUCAGAAAGCCACGGCUAACUACGUG